rnacentral:miRNA from 1 species
UACGGAUAAGCAAAGAAAGUGG